CAUAAAACAUCUUUGGAUGAUACUUGCGCUGGGCUAUUGCUAUCCUCCUUCGUCAUACUUGAUGAUACUGUAACCUGGGACGAGUCACGAGCGCAAGUAUCUGCAAUUGCCUUGGAAGCAGAAUCAGCAAGCAAAGAGGAUCUUCAUAAGCCGUGGUUCUUCAAUACCAAGCCUUCUACCAAUGGCAACCUACAGACAGUGAGGGUCAAACUAGAAUCCAACUGAAGCUCGAGCUAGGUAUGUACAAGCAAGUUGAUUAAAUUAUAUUCCUUAUCCUAUAUUGUCUUUUUCAAACACAAGAAUUACAUAACCAGAAAGCAUAUAGGGUACACUUCAAAAAUCAAGUUACAGAUCAAAGCACAAAUGUUACUGCUUUUUGAUAAAUUUUGUUACAAAAAUCUAUUUUGGUCAAAUUGCUAAACAACCUCCAAGCUCCUCAGCACCACAUAAAUUGAAAACAAGAGGAGAAGUCAAGAAACAUCCAAAAAUCUCUUCCUUUCCACAUUGUUAUUAAUUUGUAAAUACACCUUGUGACAAAUGUGUUCAGAAUUAUCAUUUCAAAAUUAAUUCUCAGCUAGUAGUUCUGAAAGUUUAUAAAAAAUAUCAUGCUUUAAAAGAACCUGAAGAAUGUGGUCAACUACCUUUAGACUAAUGUCGCCUGUAAAUCAUUUCAUUAUGAGCAAGUAGUCACAUACCUGGAGUGAAGUUGCAAUAGCAUACAGCGCCGAAUCAUCUCCUGAUAUCAUUUCAUUAGGUCUGAGUAAAGUCAUCAAAGUCUCCUUCAACGGUUUUAGCAAAGUCGGAUCUCUAGCUCCCAAAGGGCCUAACGUAGUAGAAGCAAUCUUGAGCGCACUAGAAUGAUCACCAGUUCUCACCAGCUUCAGAAAUUCAAGCUGAAGACAGAAGUGGAAAAUAACACGGCUCUCAAAUCACUAACUUAAAUGCAUUAUGUUCAGAAUUCCAGCUAUAUUAAUGGGAUCUACACACCUGCUUUAGUUGGAAUAACAAAAGGGAAUUUUGUGCAAAAAAGUUAGGAUCUAUAACAUUUAUUUCUUCCA